rnacentral:rRNA from 1 species
GACGAACGCUGGCGGCGUGCUUAACACAUGCAAGUCGUACGGUAAGGCCCUUUCAGGGGUACACGAGUGGCGAACGGGUGAGUAACACUUGAGUAACCUGCCCACACUUUUGGGUUAAGGCUGGUAACCUGGGGCAAAUACUGCUUAUAUCCUCCGCCUCCAUGGGGGGGGUGCAAAGGCUCCGCGGGUUGUGGGCGGAUUGGCGGCCUAACGGCUUGUUGGUGGGUUGGUGGCCUACCAAGGCGCCGAGGGGUGGCGGGCCUGAGGGGGUGACCGGCCAUAUUGGGACUGAGGUAAGGCCCAGACGCCUACGGGAGGACGAAGGGGGGAAGAUUGAACAAUGGGCGCAAGGCUGAUGCAGCAACGCCGCGGGCGGGAUGACGGCCUUCGGGUUGUAAAACGGUUUCAGCAGGGACGAAGCUUUUUGUGACGGUACCUGCAGAAGAAGCACCGGCUAACUACGUG